AUUGAACGCUGGCGGCAUGCUUUACACAUGCAGGUCGAACGGUAACAGGGUGCUUGCGCCGCUGACGAGUGGCGAACGGGUGAGUAAUGCGUCGGAACGUGCCGAGUAGUGGGGGAUAACGCAGCGAAAGUUGUGCUAAUACCGCAUACGUACUGAGGUAGAAAGUGGGGGACCUUCGGGCCUCACGCUAUUCGAGCGGCCGACGUCUGAUUAGCUAGUAGGUGAGGUAAAGGCUCACCUUGGCGACGAUCAGUAGCGGGUCUGAGAGGAUGAUCCGCCAAGCUGGGAAGGAGACACGGCCAAGACUCCGACGGGAGGCAGCAGUGGGGAAUUUUGGCCAAUGGGCGAAAGCCUGAUCCAGCCAUGCCGCGUGUCUGAAGAAGGCCUUCGGGUUGUAAAGGACUUUUGUCAGGGAGGAAAUCCCUAGUGCUAAUAACACUGGGGGAUGACAGUACCUGAAGAAUAAGCACCGGCUAACUACGUGCCAGCCGCCGCAGUAA
rnacentral:rRNA from 1 species